AACUCUACAGCUAGCUUAAAUAACCCACCAUAUCAAACAUUAUUAAAUACAGCCAAAUAUCCUAAUUACAACAAAUAUAAACAUUCUAUUUUUAACCCUGAGUAAGGGAGAAAAAAAAAGAAGAA
rnacentral:rRNA from 1 species